rnacentral:rRNA from 1 species
AUGGCGCCUUCUACAUCCGACGGUGAGGCGAGCAGCAGCGGGACGGGCUCAAAAUCGAAGGAGAAGGAGCGGCCAAGGUCCUUUGACGAGAAGACCCGGACCGCGUGCUGGCGGAAGGCGGCGGUGCUGGCAGGGCGACACCCAGAGCGGUGGCGGCAGGACGCCGCUGGCAACGUGGUGUGUCGCCGCUUCUGGAGCUGCCACGGCUGCCUCUGCUACGAAUACGACCACAUCAUUCCCUUCUCCAAAGGAGGGGAAUCUACUGUUGAGAAUUGCCAGAUCCUUCAGACUAGGGCGAACCGUUCCAAGUCUGAUAAAGCAUGGGUGGAGAAGGCAGAGAUGCAAGGCUUUUCCUGCGAUAUCAAGUUCACAGACAAGGAGCUUGAUGUAAUCGAGAUGGCAGUCUAUGGGGAUGUCAUUCGUCCUGGCAAACAAUGUCGCUGCAAGACAGUAGCUGAGAUGCUUGGACAGGUGAAAUCAAAGAAUCAAAUGGCUGCUUGUGACUCACCAACAUAA